rnacentral:rRNA from 1 species
UGAGGAAUAUUGGUCAAUGGGCGGAAGCCUGAACCAGCCAUCCCGCGUGCAGGAAGACGGCCCUAUGGGUUGUAAACUGCUUUUCCAGGGGGAGAAACUUUCCGAUGAAUCGGGAUUUGACGGUACCCUGGGAAUAAGCAUCGGCUAACUCCGUGCCAGCAGCCGCGGUAAUACGGAGGAUGCGAGCGUUAUCCGGAUUUAUUGGGUUUAAAGGGUGCGUAGGCGGAUCGAUAAGUCAGUGGUGAAAAUCUGCAGCUUAACUGUAGACUUGCCGUUGAUACUGUUGGUCUUGAGUAUGGUCAAGGUAGGCGGAAUGUGUAAUGUAGCGGUGAAAUGCUUAGAUAUUACACAGAACACCGAUUGCGAAGGCAGCUUACUGGACCGUCACUGACGCUGAUGCACGAAAGCGUGGGGAGCGAACAG